rnacentral:rRNA from 1 species
GCACAAGCGGUGAGCAUGUGGUUUAAUCGAAGCAACGCGAAGAACCUUACCAGGUCUUGACAUCCCGAUGCUAUUUCUAGAGAUAGAAAGUUACUUCGGUACAUCGGUGACAGGUGGUGCAUGGUUGUCGUCAGCUCGUGUCGUGGGAUGUUGGGUUAAGUCCCGCAACGAGCGCAACCCCUACGUUUAGUUGCUAACGCGUGAAGGCGAGCACUCUAGACGAACUGCCGUUGACAAAACGGAGGAAGGUGGGAUGACGUCAAAUCAUCAUGCCCCUUAUGUUCUGGGCUACACACGUGCUACAAUGGCCGGUACAGACGGACGCAAAGCCGCGAGGUGGAGCAAAUCCUAAAAAGCCGGUCUCAGUUCGGAUUGCAGGCUGCAAUUCGCCUGCAUGAAGUCGGAAUCGCUAGUAAUCGCAGGUCAGCAUACUGCGGUGAAUACGUUCCCGGGCCUU